CAAGCCUGUUGUGUGCACUCAAGCAGCUGGGGAAUUUCAAUAGUCAUUGUUGGAAAGUUCAAAACCUGCCAGUCAGCAUGUAUUUAUCACUUUCACUCCUUUCUACAAGGUUGAUUCUGAUGCAAGAAGCUAAAUACUUCGUGAUGAGAGGAAAAAAAAAACAACACAAAAAACUAGCCUGUCCAAUACAAUAUUGAUUUGAGUAAGGGUUUUUUUUUGGCCAAAUUUUAUGACACCUUUGGCACACUCUCAAACUUGCUGUACUAGCUGAUAAGCAACAUUAAAUCAAUCUGUGCAUAACACACAACAAACAAAAAGGCACACAUGGUCCGUUAUCUUUACAUUUCCAGAAAAUGCAUCUCAAGGAAUUUUCCUGUCUUCACACAAAUUUUUCAAGAUAGGUUUGAGAACAUUUAAGUUUAAAUAUGAUAUUCAUAUGCUUAAUGGACAUUUCCAUUAAAAAGGCCACCACUGUACUCUGAAGUUGGAGCACUUCUUACUGAAGGAUUUGGCUUCAUUUUCAAGCUUGGACUUUAAGUCUUCUUGAUAGAGGAAUGGGAUUGAGAAUGGUGCGCUCAUCAGUGUUUAGUCACCACAGAUAAAAUGAAUGAAGGACAUAAGAGCCUGAAAACAUUCAAGAGAUACAUCACUUGUCUAGAGCUUUUCUCAGAUGAUGAAUACUCUUCAGCCAUCUUAAGGAUUUCUCUGUUCUCUGAAGACUUUCUACUCAGGCCAGAAGAGAAAAAGAAGAUGGGAACUGCGGACUCAAACUUAGGGAUUGAGAAGGGUGGAAGAUGGCUAAUCUUUGACGCAAUUUCGUACUUUUGGCCAAUGAGGAGUUGGGUAGAAAACAGCAUGCAGCUUCUGACUGAAAGGGACACUCUUUAAGUCUUAAAGGAUAUGUAGAUUUAAUGCUUUCUUCAGAUAAGGAUGCAACAUAUGUCAAAUAAAUUAUGUAUUAGAAUGUAGGAGAAUUUGGUU
rnacentral:lncRNA from 1 species